rnacentral:rRNA from 1 species
UACGUAGGGUGCGAGCGUUGUCCGGAAUUACUGGGCGUAAAGAGCUCGUAGGUGGUUUGUCGCGUUGUUCGUGAAAACCGGGGGCUUAACCCUCGGCGUGCGGGCGAUACGGGCAGACUGGAGUACUGCAGGGGAGACUGGAAUUCCUGGUGUAGCGGUGGAAUGCGCAGAUAUCAGGAGGAACACCGGUGGCGAAGGCGGGUCUCUGGGCAGUAACUGACGCUGAGGAGUGAAAGCGUGGGGAGCGAACAGG